AUGACCAAGAGGCAGACAGUGGAGGCGCUAGACAAAAGCAUGCGGGACAUAAUGGACAGACCAGAACUUCCAUUCAGUGGAAAAGCAAUAGUAUUUGGAGGCGAUUUUAGGCAAGUGCUACCUGUUGUUCGAAAGGGAACAAGAGCUCAGAUAGUAGAUGCAUCACUACGCAGGUCCGAGCUCUGGAGUUCAAUGCGUCAACUGAAGCUCGUGCGCAACAUGAGGGCUCAAAACGACAACUGGUUCGCGGAAUACCUCCUACGCAUUGGAAACGGAACAGAGGAGACAAAUGAAGAUGGUGAAAUACUACUACCAACAAGUAUACGUGUGGCAAAUAAGACGGAUGACAAUGGCCUGGAUAUGCUCAUCGACAAUGUCUACCAAAUGGACAAUGCUUCCCUAAAAGAUCCAAAGUACAUCACGUCAAGAGCAAUUCUAUCAACAAGGAACGACUCCGUAGACAUAAUCAACCUAAAAAUGAUUGAUCGCAUCCAGGGGGAGGAGAUGGUGUAUCACAGCUUUGAUUCGGUAGAAGACGACCCACAUAACUACUAUCCACCAGAAUUCCUAAACACUCUCACCCCAAAUGGACUGCCUCCACAUAUGUUGAAGCUCAAAAUUAAUUGCCCAAUCAUACUACUCAGGAACAUCGACCCUGCUAAUGGACUAUGCAACGGCACGAGGUUGGUCGUACGCGGAUUUCAAAAAAAUAUAAUUGACCAGAGAUUGUGGUGA
rnacentral:rRNA from 1 species